rnacentral:rRNA from 1 species
GAAUCCUGCGCAAUGGGCGAAAGCCUGCCGCAGCCACGCCGCGUGAAUGAUGAAGGUCUUAGGAUUGUACAAUUCUUUCAGCGGGGAAGAUAAUGACAGUACCCGGAGAAGAAGCCCCGGCCAACUUCGUGCCAGCAGCCGCGGUAAUACGAAGGGGGCUAGCGUUGCUAGGUAUUACUGGGCGUAAAGGGCGCGGCGGCGGAUCGUUAAGUCAGAGGUGAAAUCCCGGGGCUCAACCCUGGAACUGCCUUUGAUACUGGCGAUCUUGAGUAUGAGAGAGGUAUGUGGAACUCCGGGUGUAGGGGUGAAAUUCGUAGAUAUUCGGAAGAACACCAGUGGCGAAGGCGACAUACUGGCUCAUUACUGACGCUGAGGCGCGAAAGCGUGGGGAGCAAAC